CGUGUAGGUGGCUAAUUAAGUCAGGUGUGAAAUCCUUCCGCUUAACGGAAGAAGUGCACUUGAAACUGCUUAGCUAGAGUACGGGAGAGGAAGGUGGAAUUCCUGGUUGUAGAGGUGAAAUUCAUAGAUAUCGGGAAGAACACCGGUGGCGAAGGCGGCCUUCUGGCCCGAUACUGACGCUGAGACGCGAAAGCGUGGGGGAGCAAACA
rnacentral:rRNA from 1 species